GUUGAUUGAUAAUGUUUCUUUUUUUUUAACUCUUUUUAACCUCUUUUUUUAAUCCCUUUCUUCCAGCUCUUUUUGCAAGUGUUUGGGAAAAACUUGUGAAUUAUGCUGAGUUUGACAGAUUCGUGAUAAUAGUCCUGUUUUUAAUCAUGUUUAUGUGCUGCAUUUGCAAAAUCAUUUACCUUGCAGUUACAGAGGUCGGAAAGAGAAGUGGACAGAUAAUUGAAAUAUUUGACUUAGUGGCUGAUACGAUCUUUGAUAUUCUGCCUGCUUUACAAUUCAUCCUCCUCUUCUUCACUUUUGCAUCUGUCAGAGGAGGAUUCAUCAUUGUUGUCAUUUUACCAGUGUUACUGAUGAUGACAAAUGACAGAUGUUUUUUCAGAUGGUUUGAUAGACUCAGGUGUUCAUUUUCAGUCAUAAGAACAGUGAUGUUAAUCAUCAUGAUAGCGAUUAUUGCAGCGAUGAUCGGACUUUACAUAAUGACACUUGGAAAUAAAACUGAUGCUGCUGGAUGGGGCUGUGUGAUUGUGUUUCUGCAGAUACUCUGGAUGGUUAUGAAGUUUACAGGCUAUUAUGGCUUUAUUGCUCAGGAUUUUCCUCGUGUUGUUCCUGUCUAUGUGUUUGGAUCAGUUGGUGUUGUGUUACUGAACUCUGUUGCUCUGAUGACUGAACUGAUACUGAAAACAGUUAAUGGUGCUCGUACAGUGGGAGAUCUGAGGUCUGUUGUCUUUCCUUCUGAAUGCUUCUUUGCCUUAUCUGUGGUGAUUGCAGGAAUAUUUCCAUCUGGCAUCGUAAAAUGUCUGCAGAACAUAGUGAAGUCUAGACAAGCUCCAGCUGACAGAUCACAGAUCGACUGAAGAUCAGGAGAAAAGUCUGCCUGAUUCAAUAAAGCAGCAUGAUUUUCUGCAAGAUUGUUUUGAAACAACAUGGAUUGUAAAAAGCAUUAUAAAAAUAAAUAUAGUCACUGCUUAAAAUCUCAUGUAUUUCAACACUAAGCUUUGUUUGGUGUAAUGAUGUUAUUCAUUGUUAAUGUAAAUGGUUUUACAAUGUGAG
rnacentral:lncRNA from 12 species